rnacentral:rRNA from 1 species
ACGAGAAAUUCCGAUUCGUCGGGAGAGUAAAGUGGCGAACGGGUGAGUAACACUAGGGUAAUCUCCCCUUGAAUAAGGGAUAACAGUGCGAAAGCGCUGCUAAUACCUUAUAAGACUACGGUUUCUUAGGAGACAGUAGGAAAAGAUGGCCUCUGUUUCAAGCUAUCGUUUAAGGAUGAGCCCUAGCACUAUUAGCUAGUUGGUGAGGUAAUGGCUCACCAAGGCGACGAUGGUUAGCUGGUCUGAGAGGAUGAUCAGCCACACUGGAACUGAGACACGGUCCAGACUCCUACGGGAGGCAGCAGUGAGGAAUAUUGCGCAAUGGGGGCAACCCUGACGCAGUGACGCCGCGUGAGUGAUGAAGGCUUUCGAGUUGUAAAGCUCUGUUAGGUGGAAAGAAACACUCCAGCGCUAAUAUCGCUGGGGCUUGACGGUACCACCAGAGGAAGCACCGGCUAACUCCGUGCCAGCAGCCGCGGUAAUACGAGGGGGGCUAGCGUUGUUCGGAAUUACUGGGCGUAAAGCGCGCGUAGGCGGUUUUGUAAGUUAGGCGUGAAAGCCCCGGGCUUAACCUGGGAAUAGCGCUUAAGACUGCGAGACUUGAAGAAGGAAGAGGGCAGUGGAAUUCCCAGUGUAGAGGUGAAAUUCGUAGAUAUUGGGAAG